AACGAACGCUGGCGGCAGGCUUAACACAUGCAAGUCGAGCGCCUCGCAAGAGGAGCGGCAGACGGGUGAGUAACGCGUGGGAACGUACCCUUAUCUUCGGACUAGCUCUGGGAAACUGGAAGUAAUACCGAAUGUGCCCUUAGAGGGAAAGAUUUAUCGGAUAAGGAUCGGCCCGCGUUGGAUUAGCUAGUUGGUGGGGUAAAGGCCUACCAAGGCGACGAUCCAUAGCUGGUCUGAGAGGAUGAUCAGCCACAUUGGGACUGAGACACGGCCCAAACUCCUACGGGAAGCAGCAGUGGGGAAUAUUGGACAAUGGGCGCAAGCCUGAUCCAGCCAUGCCGCGUGAGUGAUGAAGGCCGUAGGGUUGUAAAGCUCUUUCACCGGAGAAGAUAAUGACGGUAUCCGGAGAAGAAGCCCCGGCUAACUUCGUG
rnacentral:rRNA from 1 species